CAGAAAACACAAAUACAAGUUUCACUCGACGAUUAUUUGAGAAAGACGACCUCCAUCGACCACUUUUUCCAUCCUGACAUCGACUGACCAUAAACUACACAGGACAAAAGUUGUUCAAGCAUGGAAAAUUUUUACACUUGGCGUGCUGUCCUUGUACCCAACGUCAACCAGCCCAGCGUACCUAGGCUGAUACUUCGGAGGGUGCCCAUCUCCAGCAGCUCCUUGCCAGGCCCCCCCCCCAUUCCCCCCUCUAACACACCUCCUGGCUCCCCCUCUCAACCAAGCACUCUUGCUAAGUCUCCCAGCUCUUCACCUAACUCCCCCUCUACCUCUUCCUCCUCCUCUGGUUCUUCCUCUGACUCUUCUCAUUGCUCUUCCCCUAGCUCAUCCCCUCCAGUGCCAGAAGAUGAACGCUGGACUCGUGUGGUGUCUGACACUGAGAACAAGAUUGUCUUGAGAAAACUGCAGACGGCGAGCUCCCCUCUGACCACACAGACACCCCAGAGGUCUUCCGCAACUGGCCGCCCUUCCAGAUUUCAGGCAAACACCAGUUCCCGGCUGAUCUCAACGGGCCCCCAGGAGAAGUGGGUGAAGAAGAUUCGGUCCCUUCUCAGACAGAGAGACAAGCGGCCUGGCAGCAGGGGAUGCAAGAGAGCUGCUGGACAGCCACAAGGGUGCCCUCCAGGGAAGCGCUCUUUAAACAAUUGAUUUAAAAUUAUGGAGUAUUUUGUGAUGUGAUGUGAUGUGAUGUGAUGUGAUGUGAUGUGCCUUUUUUACUUAAAAAUGUCAUUUUAUUAUAUCUUAUUUCAUUUUAAGGACCACACACUGAUGCUACGUCAUCGUCACUGAACCUGUGACUCUGGUCAGGGUGCCUGUCAGAGUUGGGGAGGAUCUGGGGGGGAUAGCGUAAACCUCCAACGUGUUACACCCUCUCAGUGAAGCUCCUCUCUGGCAGAUGGGAACAGGAUGCAGACACCAUGUCACGGAGGUUCAUAUGUCUGUCUGCGCCAACCCUCGACCGACAGAGGAGUCCACAGUGACGAGGACCACAGUGCAGUGUGCUUUCUUUGGAUGACUGCAGGACCUAAGAUGACCCCAGAGGAACCCAGUAGGAGACACAAGAUGGUGGACAGCCCCAUGACAGUGAAGAGGAACAGAACCCCCUCUAGAUGAGACCAGGAAUCAAUGAACGCCAGCCCAGGAAGAGAAAACAGCUGAUGAACAACCCAAGGAUGAUACAAGGAUUUCUGUGGGCAGAGAAGAAGUUGAGCGCGGCAGGAGUCCAGCCAUGAAGACAUGCAGACCACACUAUUCUUUACAACAACCGGGUGCAAACAGAGGACCUGACUGAACGCUGCAUUGAAAGAAGUUGGGGACAAGUCGGCCACCGACACAGUGGAAGAUUUGAUGACAAACUGUAUAAAGGGUUCCUCAAAUAAAAAGUCAAUACAUGAAAAACCA